ensembl:lncRNA
AAAGGAGAUAAAAAUUUGGAAAAAAGUAAAGGAGAUAAAAAUUUGGAAAAAAGUGAAGGAAAUAAAAAUUUGAAAAAAAGUACAAGUAAAAAAACAGACAGCAAUCAAAAGAAUAUCCAUAAAAAACGCAACAGUAAGAACAUAUCUAAAAAUUCGUUGUCUAAUAGCAGUAGUAGUAAUAUAAAUAGUGAUAGUAAUAUUCCAUUAACAAACCAACAAUCAAAUUCGCAUUUUUUGAAAAAAAAAAUAGAUCUAUUUAAUAAUUUUAUUGAGAAUGUAAAACCAUCAAGAAGUUAUGACAUUGAUGAAUUGCACCCUAUAUAUAAUUUAUUAUGCAAAAAUGAAAACUCUUAUUUAAGUUCUAAUUGGCACGAUCGAAUUAAUUACGCUUUUCGCAAUAUAUGGUUACUAAAAAAUUAUAUGCAUGAUGAAAUAAGUGAGGGAGAAAGAGAAAAAGAAUUUUUCAAUGAAUUGGAGCAGUUUCAUAUGGCUAGUAAAAUAGGUGCAUGUGGUUUAGCUUAUAUUUUAUUUUUAAAUAAAAAAAAAGAUUUCGCAGGUAGUACUAUUAAUAAGUUUUACUUUGUUGAUGAUUGUGCUGGUGGUUGUACCGAAUGUCGCGCCGAUUAUUAUGAAAAACGUAUUUGUACCGAUAUCUAUAAAAGUAGCGACAAUUAUAAUAAAGAAACAGUAGCAAAUGAUUAUUAUUUAACGAAUUGUUUUAUUAAAGUAACUAAAGAGAAGUAUCCACAUAUAUACAAAGUAUACAAACCCAAAUUCGAUGAUGACUUAUUGUUUUUAUUUGAUAGCUUAGUUUUUACAGUUGUAUUAGGAAGUAGAAAAAAUAAUAUUAAUUUUGAUAUUGCAAGAAAGAUAUAUAAUAAUGAUUGUAAGGGAAAAAAUGUAUUAUGUGAGUGUAUAUAUAAUUUGAAAAAUAAUUCCAAAUUUGCAUUGCCAGUAACUACACAAAUAGAUUUUAUGGGCUUACGAAUAAUAGCAGAACCAUUAAUGCCAUUAAAUAAAUUAUAUAAUCCGGUGGACUUGGUUAAAUUGGUAUUAAAAACAGAAACUAGUUAUAAUGAUAAUUAUAUAACAAAACGAUCAAAUUCGUUACUGUUAAAUUAUGAAAAAGAUAUUAGUCCUUAUUACACAGAAUAUGACAUAAACAAAAGCGAUUGUGAGGAUAGCUAUGGUGAUAGUGGUUAUGGUGAGAAUAACGAAGGAACACAAAACAUACAUGAUCAAAAAAUACCAUACACACAGGUCUUGUUAGAAAUUGAAAAGUAUGAUAUUACGUUAUAUGAACAAAUAAAAACAAUGAGUAAUUAUUUAAACUAUUAUUGUUGCGUAUUUCCAUUUGGUGUGUCCGAUUAUUUUAAUUGUAACAUAUUUUUAAAAAGGAAGAAACGGAAUAUAGAUAGUAAUAGUGAUAAUAAGAAUGGUGAUACAUAUUGUAGUAAUACACAGUACAACAAUAAUGUAGAACUUUUUAAAUCAUAUAUUGACCAAUUAAUAGUUAUUAGAGGUGCAGAAGAAAUAUUACCACCACUUCUUUACGAUUCUAAUAGAUUAAAAUUUAUAACCAGGUUAAGAUAUGAGUUUAUGAAAUAUUAUUAUGAUGAAUAUUCAUUAUGUAAUACUAGUUUAGCGAUACGAAUAAAAGAAGACAAAAACAAAGAGUAUGAAAACAAUUUUGAAACUUUGAAAAAAGCUAGUAAAGUAUAUUUUGAUGUUAUAAAUAAAAUAGUGGCACCAAAAAUUAUUAACAUGAUAACAAAUUAUAAUGAUAGUUUUGAUAUAACUGAAGUUUAUCAUUCGUAUGGGUUAAAUAUUUGUAAUUUAGGUUAUUUAUUAAAAUCUGGUGCUAUACCUGAAUAUUUAAUAGCAAGAAUAUGUAGAGAAAUGAUAUGUAGGACAUUAAAAAGUAUAUAUCAUGAGUAUAUACAUAAAUUUUUCUUAAUUAAAGAUGAAAAUUCAAUGAUAAAAAGGAAUUACAUUGAAAAAAUAAUACAAAAAAAUAAUGAUUUAGAUGGGAUUAGUAAUAUAAUCCAUCCAAAUGUUACCACUGGUGUUACUUCUGCUAAUAAUGCUACUACAACUUCCGCUAAGAUUGCUACUGGUACUGUAGUCGAUGUAACCAAUAAAUUGGAAAUACCUAUUAAUGCUAAUAUCCUUACAUAUGAAAAAAAAAAAUUUUAUAAACAUACUCAACCUAAAUGUUAUAUGAACGAAAUUGAUUUGUUACUUUGGAAUAUAAUCAGUGGACAAGAUAAGAACAUAAAUCAAUACGAGCGUAGUAAUUCUGACAGUAUAUGCUCCUGUCAUAACAAUAAAAACAUGUACAAAGACACAUGUUUUGAAUGUUUGAGAAAACAAAAAUAUACUAAACAGGAUAAUAAUAACCUAUCCUCCUUAAAUAAUAGUUAUCCUAAUUAUUUAAAUAGUUAUUCUGAAUUUAUACCACAUAAGUUAUUAAUAAAAUUAAUAAACUUAACAUUAGAACUAAAUACAGUGAACUCAAUAAAUUUUUGGAAUCAAUUUUUAAUACCAAAAUGUAUCGACAAAUUUGGUAUAAAUUUAAACGAUUAUAUAAACAUAAAAGAAAUAGAAAUAUAUGCAUUGUUUAUAUGUAUAGAACACCAUUUGGGUGUUUAUUUUAAAAAGGAAUGUAAAAAAAACUAUACCAUACGUCUUCCGCUAAGUUUAGAUGACAUGUCAGAAUUUUGUGAUAAAAAUAGUAUACAUCUUUUUCCUAACUUGUUACAUUUGAAACGUAUAUUUCAACCGGCAGUUACUUCAAAAAAAGGGGGGUUCGAUAUGUAUAUUGACACUGAUAACUCUAUGAAUGAGGAAUAUGGAUAUGUAUCAAAAUGUAAUAAAAACAAAAUCAAUAAAGUUAACAUUUCUCAUGAUAGUAGUUUGAACAAUAACAUUCUAAAAGGUUGUAAAAGGUCGAAGCAACAUAUGUACAAAAAGGAUGGUUAUGAUUCUUUUAUGUCAAAUAAAAAGAGCGCUCAUAGUAGUAGCGACCGUAAUAGUAGCCACAAUAGUAACCACAAUAGUAACCA